rnacentral:rRNA from 1 species
UACGUAGGGUGCAAGCGUUGUCCGGAAUUAUUGGGCGUAAAGAGCGUGUAGGCGGCCCGAUUAGUCCGCUGUGAAAGUCCAGGGCUCAACCCUGGAAUGCCGGUGGAUACUGUCGGGCUAGAGUCCGGAAGGGGCGAGUGGAAUUCCUGGUGUAGCGGUGAAAUGCGCAGGUAUCAGGAGGAACACCAAUGGCGAAGGCAGCUCGCUGGGACGUGACUGACGCUGAGACGCGAAAGCGUGGGGAGCAAACAGG